GGGUAUUUGGCCGAGAGGUUAAGGCGUUGCGUUUAGGCCGCAAUGGGUUCCACCCGCGCAGGUUCGAAUCCUGCAGUGCCCA
rnacentral:tRNA from 1 species